rnacentral:lncRNA from 1 species
UGGCGAGCACUCUGCAGAGCCUGGGCUUCUUCGUCGUACGCCGGCGUCCCUGCUAGUGCCUGCCGUUGAACUCUCCGGCCACCAUUGAUCCGACCUCCCCUAAGCCAUCGAUGAGUAAGAGAAAAACAGUGAACGCCACCUCUGUACUCGCCCCACCUUAUGGCGCGUCGCUUCUGCAGUACCGGCCCACGCUCUGCGCGGCGCUCAGGUGUUACGGCUGCCCUCAAAUCCGUCAUCGGACCAUUGGCACUAGGGCAAGCAAAAGCACGGACAGGUGCUCGGCGUGCUGCAACGGCUUCCGAUUUGCCCGGCUAGAUGGAAGACGGCUGGGGAGCAUCUUCCUUGGGGAACACCGCGCGUCAUGGGUGCCUUGCCGAAGUUCAGGGACGGCGUGAUUGCUCAUCGUCGUUCAUGCUCCACCGUGGCGCCACCCAUCUCCGUGGGCAGUGGGCUGCAUCGUCCAAUCGACCGGUGAGUGGCCUGUAACGAGUUCGUUGUGCUCUCGGCUUCAUAUUUCCAUCAACCAACAUCAGAAAUCGCGUGUGUUGCACCGAGAUUGGUCCUCUCUAGUCCUGGCUACCGCCGUGGUGGCUCUGUGCGCCGCCGAAUAGAUGACCAGGGGAGGAAGAAAGGGGUGAGUCCGUUGGAUUUCGAUCCAGCGACUAAUAUUAGACCGGGUUCAAAUUAGAUGUGGUUCGUUCGAUCUAAAUGGACGGGCGGGAUUUUAAGUAGCAUACCCCUUCGCUUGAUUAAAUCAUAGCCGUCGAAGUUCGAUCUGGCGGCCGCGAGGUGAAUUGCGCGCGUUAAACCGAGACCCUUGGAUUCAGAUCCGAUGGUUUAGAUCGCAUUCCGGAUCGGCUGAUUGCGGAUCUAAUCCUAGCGGCCAGAUGUUGAUCGUGCGGCCAGGAACGCAGAAUACCCCUUCGCCGUGCCUAUUUGAUAAAGAGUCCCUGGACUUCUUAGUAAUAAACCCGCGGUCCACAGUGGCUGUGCGCUGAGUCUAGUAAUUCUUGCGUAGAGACCCCUAUAUUUAUCUAUUUUUGUGCGCGCAGUCCAAACAGAGAUUAAAUCAGGAAAUUAAUUUAAGAAAUGAAUUUUUAAUAUGAAAACAAUUCCAGAACUUGUAAAAUUCAUAUAAAAUUUAUUUUAACUCAUUUUUAACCCAUUCCAGUUCCUAUAAUUUGGUAAUAUUAUUGUUUAUCACCUAGUGCCACUGUUUUAGCAUGAAAACUAUAUUAAAUUUGAUCACCUAGUUAUUCUCGUACCAAACACAUAAAAUCUUCAAAAAUUCGUAACUUCUCCGUUUUGAUUCCGAUUUGUUCCGUUCCAGUUGCGUUAGUCUCAUAGAAACGCGUAGAUCAUUAUUAUUUAGUAUAUUCUUAUGUUUGGUGUGAUGUUAAUUUUAUCUAUACCAUGUUUGUUUGUAUUGCUACGACUAGCGCGAGGACACGUGUCAUCUGAAAAGCAAGUUGGUACCUGAAAUCUCAAGUGCCAGGCAAGUUGUGCCCUUGAUCACUUCUUUUUACCCACUCAUGUUCUAAUUAAUCAUAAUGAUCUGCAUAGGUUAAUUUUGAUGGGACCCAAUAGGUUACCCUAGUUUGAUUAUCUUUAUACCUUGUUUACCACUGAACUUUUUGGGUAGUACUUGCUAGUGCUUUAUGUGGUUUUGGGUAUGAAGAUACAUUACUCAUGAUCACACUUUUUAUUAUCUGUUUAUUAUUAUUGUUCAUGAUAAGAUCAUUAUGUUAAUUGGAACAUGGAGCGACCACCCGGGAAAACAGUGCUACCACAAGGGUUUAAUGGGACGCCCUUGGCUGAUUAAUUAGGAAAGCUAGUGGAAGACUACCUUACCCGAAAGGGGCAAGGGCAGUAGGGGAGUGGUCAGUGUAGGGAGGCCCUCGGGAGGAUUUUGCUGCGAUGGCGGUCCUGCAAGGGAUUCCUGCAUUGGAGCUUCCUAUAAACUGUAGCGGGUUUUCUGAAGCUAGUGGAACUUUGUAAAGGCCUCGUAGUGUUACCCUGCCUCGCCUCCUCGGUAGAGGUGUAUGGGAAGUCGCGAUCCCUUGGCGGAUGGGUAACAUGACUUGUGGGUAAAGAUGCGCAACCUCUGCAGAGUGUAAAACUGGUAUACUAGCCGUGCUCACGGUCAUGAGCAGCUCGGACCCUCACAUGAUUAAAUUAUGGAACUUAAACUCAAUUUGUCAUAUGCAUUGCAUUGCAGGUGAGGUUGUUACUUUUGUUCUACUACUUAAUUGGGUUGGUAUUUACUUAUACUUAGUAAUUGCUAAUAAAAUUUUGACCAACUUUAAAAGCAAUGCUCAGCUCUAACCAUCCUCUUUGGUAAGCCUUACACUUCACGUGAGCUCCCACCUUUGGCGAGUUCAUGCACAUUAUUCCCCACAACUUGUUGAGCGAUGAACGUAUGUGAGCUCACUCUUGCUGUCUCACACCCCCCCACAGGUCAAGAGUAGGUACCGCAGGAUGAGGCGCUUGGAGGAUGCUGCGAUGAGUUCGUGAGAGAUCUAGGCCGUCGUCUCCCAGUCAACUUUGGGUUGCUGGACCGUUGUCUCCUUAUAAUGUAAUUACUUAAUUAUUUUGUAUAGAACUCCUGUUAUGUAGUAAAGAUGUGACAUUCGAUCCUGUGCCAUGAUUCAUCAUAUGUGUGAGACUUGGUCCCAGCACACCUGGUGAUUAUGUUUACGCCCGGGCUUUGGACCCCUAAAACCCGGGUGUUACAAGAAACGCAGCUAACGUAGAGAAACCUACCACAUGCAGCUGACUGGGGGAGGUCGCUAGCCUAAUCCUCGAACUCGUUGAAGUCCUUGAACUCCUGGAGAUUCGCCUCGACACCUUCUCCUUCUUUACCUGAGCAUAUGUUGCACCUGUUGUUUUGUGAAAGCAAGGGUGAGUACACAUCAACGUACUCAGCAAAUGUUCUGUUUAGCUAAGGUGGACUAACUUUAUGUGGGGUGAAGCUCCAGUAGUUGCUUUUAGUUUGUCAGAUAUUUAUUAUUAGUAGAAGCCAAAUUUUAGCAAUAACCAACCCAUGAACCGUUUCCUCAUCGAGGAACAUCAUUAUCAUCAUCGUAGGCAAAUCCAUAAAUAGAACCAUAGUAUCUUGAACCAUUUGUAUCUCUAAUCAAAGAAGCUUACAAGGCUGCUCAUAACCGUGAGCACGACUGAUAUAUCGGUUUCUAAUCCUCCGCAGAGGUUGCACACUUUACCCAUGAGUCGUGAUUCUCGUUCUGCCCGGGGAUCAUGACUCCCCAUUGAUCACUUCUAAGGUGAACUGGCAGGGUCUCACUACGUAGCUUUUACAAAGAUUCCCCAAACGUCAUAGCCGACCGUUAGAUUUCUCCAGUUUGAUAAACACAAUACAUCUCUCCAUAGAAAGAGUGACCAACAACAGCACCCAGCCUCGACAGAGCAAGUACUUGUGCUCGGACCCCAUUGAUGGCACGACGGCGAAGCAAACUACACCUCAAGUCCCUCUAAUUAAUCAGCUAAGGGCGUCAUAUACCACCCUCAUGGCUGCACUGUUUUCCCGGGUUCUUACGGAGAAAUACUCGGGAAACGGCCUGAGCCUACUUUAGUAUCACAAGCUCAUAAUCAUAAUCAGAAUGUAAAGCAUCGUAUCAUAAUUGUAUCUCAUCAUGUUCAUUGAUUAAAGUAGAGUGCUAGCAUAAAGCUAACCAUAAUAACCCAAAAGGUAAUCAAGGACAAGGUAAAUGGAAAGCUAGUCAAUCCUUAGGUUUUAAUUAUGUAAUGCGGGGAAAUGAAUUAUCAUGUGAAUAGGACAUAAGUCGGUCAGAGGACACUUGCCUUCACCAAACAGAUGCUCAGGGUCUUCAGUCCCGUAGAACUCGAAGAGUUUGAUCACUUGGUCGUCGAAGCUUGACCGUCGAUUCCUCGAAGCUCGGAAACGGAUCGCGAUCUAUUCGUGACGCGCAACGAAUACAAACAGGCACAAACAAACAUAUACUUGCAUAAGAACAUUACACCAUACAAGAUAAAAUAUUAUAAAAACGAGCAAUAUAAAAUAGAGAGCGCUUCUACGGUUACGCGAGGAUAAGAAACGCGAUAGUCAAAGCUACGGUCGACAAGUUAUCGCUUUUAUGCUAAAAAGUAUUAGUUAGAACAUUUAAUUCGACAUAAUUAUUUUAAUCAAUAUUUAUUAAAUGCAACUAGAGCUUUAAUUAGUCUAUAACGCUAACAAUUGUUAAAUAAAUAAGUAAUUUAAUUAACACGAGGGCUCCUAAGCGAGGUGAAUUUACGACGCACGACAAGACGUGGCGUGCAAAAAUAAUGCGCGAACGAUGCAUGGCCAAACACGACUUAGCACACGGACGACGAUCGACAUGCGCAUACAACGUGUGACGACGCGCGCAAAACAGCACGCGAACGACGUGCGAAGUAGCACGCCACCGCGCACAGAACAACACACGCGACAUGCGAGAAAAACUAAAUAGGUGUCACGUUUAUACUAAACAAGUAUUAAAUAAAUAAAAAGUAUUUAAGUUAAUAUUAACCAUGUUAAUGUUUAUUAUAAAAGCACAAGUUGAAAACUAUACAUUUAAUCUAUUUGGAAUAUUAAUCUAAUAAACAUUAGUCGAGCAAACAUUAAAUAAAUUAUCUAACAUAUGUGACCUGACGAAUUAACAUUAUUAACAUGUGGACAACGAAUACGAACCUAACACAAUUUGAACGGCUCAAAACGGAUUUAAAACAUGGAAGAUAUGCACGUUUAAAAUUACAGGGGUCUACACACAAUUAUCUGGAGACUUCGGGAGCUAGCAAGCGAGUUUUACAGGACUCAACAAACAGUGGGUUAAUUACACUAUUCUCUCGGGUUAUUUUUGCAAAAACGACUUCUUUCUCUCCCCACCUUCCUCUCUCACAAAAACCGCCAUGGGGGAGAAGCAGGGGGUCGCACUGCGAGGGGGUCGCGGGGUAGGGGUGGCCAGGGGAGGGCUACGGGGUGGAGGUGGUCGGGAAAAAAGUAUGUAAGACAAUCUGCGAAAAUAAAGAGAAAACAAAGAAGAGCAAUGGUGAACCUCGCCGGAGACGAGAAGGAAAACGCCGAUUGACGACAAACCACAGGUCGAAUCGACGAAUCGAAGGCACCGGGACAAAGCCCUCGACGAUACGAACGCAGCGAUACCCUCAGAUUCUGCCGACGACGCACGGAUUGGAAGUAGUUGCUCGCCAUAAUUGUCACUGGAGUUGGAACCGCUCCGAACUUCUGUGAGCAAUUCCGGGGGGAAUGAAUCUGGAAAAACCGUUUUGUGAUUCAGAAUGUGCUCAGCGAGGAGAACUCGACCAAAUAUAUAUAGUCAGGGUUCGGGCGAGAUGAAAAUUCGGGUCAAAUUCGGAUUUUUUCUAUUUAUUAAAUUUAGUUUAGCCUUUAAAUUCAUAUUUUGUGCUCAAAAUAUUGUAGAUGCUUUGAAAAAUUCCAGGGAAAAACCUAGAAAUGUUUUAGCACCUAAUGAACUCAAAAAAUAUAUCUAGAGUUUGUAAAAAUAUUUUUAAGUACCUCAAAUAAAUAGAUUUGGGCUUCCAGAAAAUAGAAAAAUAUUCAGAAAAAUAUGAAAAAUUUACUGAGCUUUUAUAAGGUAUAUUAACAUGUUUCACACACCUUUUAUACCUAGAAACACCAUGCAGCGGCAUGAAUGCAACAACCAAAGCAUGUCUAGGGCUCAUUCCACUAGGUUUAUGCCAAUAUAAAACAAAAUAAUUCUCUAUUUUUAGGAAAAAAGAGAAGGAAAGCAAAGAAAUGAGAGCGUAACUGAAAGUCGCCUAGAGGGGAGGUGAAUAGGGCGAAACUGAAAUUUACAAAUUUAAUCACCACUACAAGCCGGGUUAGCGUUAGAAAUAUAAUUGAGUCCGCGAGAGAGGGUGCAAAACAAAUCACAAGCAAAUAAAGAGUGUGACACGUGGAUUUGUUUUAUCGAGGUUCGGUUCUCGCAAACCUACUCCCCGUUGAGGUGGUCACAAAGACCGGGUCUCUUUCAACCCUUUCCCUCUCUCAAACGGUCCCUCGGACCGAGUGAGCUUCUUCUUCUCAAUCAAACGGGAACAAACUUCCCGGCAAGGACCACCACACAAUUGGUGUCUCUUGCCUUGGUUACAAUUGAGUUGAUCGCAAGAGAGAUUGAAAGAAAAGCACGAUUGCAAAAGCCAAGCGACAAGAGCGACAAAUAACACACGGAUCACUUUCUCUCUCAAGUCACUAAUCACUAAUGAUCUCUUUUCUCAAUUAUGAAACUUGGAGAGAUGGAGGCUUUGAAUGUGUCUUGGAAUGGUUUGCUAGCUCUUGUAUUGAAUGUUGAAGGUUGGAAUGCUUGGAUGAUGUGAAUGGAGGUGGUUGGGGUUGUAUUUAUAGCCACCAACCACUUCCUAGCCGUUGCUCCAUUCUGCCGACCGCGGACGGUCCACCCGCCUGGUCCGGACGGUCCACGACUGUAGAUCAACGGCUGAAAACGCAACGGUCAGCAGUAACGACUAUAUUGCAUUUAAUGCGUCGUCAGAUGUCAGAUAAAGCCAGUCGCGAACGGUCCGGUCGUGCACCCCGGACGGUCCGCGAGGACGCUAUAAUUCAUUUUUCCGAACCCGUCACCUUUGGGGUUUUCGGUUUCUCACCUACCGGACGGUCCGCGCCUGAAGCCGGACGGUCCGCACGAGGUCUCGGACGGUCCUUGCUUUUCCUCCGGACGGUCCGUAGUGCAGACUUGGAUUUUUGCAUUGGUUCUGUCCGAGGGUCAUCCUGGUGUUGCGGACGGUCCGCCGUAAGUGCCCGGACGGUCCGCGCUUGGCCUGUUUUUCCAAAAAGCUUCUCCUGUCCGGAAUAAUCUACGGUAUUCCGGUCAGUCGAUUUAGUAUAGUUGUAGAUGAACCUUUGGCACCUGUAGAACAUAUAUUCUAGAGCAAACUAGUUAGUCCAAUUAUUUGUGUUGGGCAAUUCAACCACCAAAAUUAAUUAGGAACUAGGUGUAAGCCUAAUUCCCUUUCAAUCUCCCCCUUUUUGGUGAUUGAUGCCAACACAAACCAAAGCAAGUAUAGAAGUGCAUAAUUGAACUAGUUUGCAUAAUGUUAGUGCAAAGGUUGCUUGGAAUUGAGCCAGUAUAAAUUCUUGCAUGGAUUGUUUCUUUAUUAUUAACAUUUUGGACCACGCUUGCACCACUUGUUUUGUUUUUGCAAAUUCUUUUGUAAAUCCUUUUCAAAGUCCUUUUGCAAAUAGUCAAAGGUAAAUGAACAAGAUUUCGAGAAGCAUUUUCAAGAUUUGAAAUUUUCCCCCUGUUUCAAAUGCUUUUCCUUUGACUUAAACAAAAAUUCCCCUAAAUGAAAUUUACCUCUUAGAGUUCAAGAGGGUUUUGAUAUAUCAAUUUUGAAACACUACUUUCUCCCCCUUUUGAACAUAAUAAGAUACCAAUUUGAAAUUUCCAAUUAAAAAUCAUUUUAAAUUUAGCUGGUGGUGCGGUCCUUUUGCUUUGGGCUAAUACUCUCUCCCCCUUUGGCAUGAAUCGCCAAAAAACGGAGUCAUUAGAGCCCUUAGAAUUACUCUCUCCCCCUUUGGUCAUAAAUAAAUUAGUGAAGAUUAUACCAAAGACGGAGUCCUUUUCUCCUCCAAAGAUGGAGAGUUGCUCGGAGUGACGGCGAAGGAUGAGUUACGGAGUGGAAGCCUUUGUCUUCGUCGAAGACUCCAAUUUCCUUUCAAUACACCUAUGACUUGGUUUGAAAUAGACUUGAGAACACAUUAGUCAUAGCAUAUGAAAGAGACAUGAUCAAAGGUAUAUAAAUGAGCUAUGUGUGCAAAUCAACAAAAGAAGUUCCUAGAAUCAAGAAUAUUUAGCUCAUGCCUAAGUUUGUUAAAAGUUUGUUCAUCAAGUGGCUUGGUAAAGAUAUCUGCUAAUUGAUCUUUAGUAUUAAUGUAUGAAAUCUCGAUAUCUCCCUUUUGUUGGUGAUCCCUUAAAAAGUGAUACCGAAUGGCUAUGUGUUUAGUGCGGCUAUGCUCAACGGGAUUAUUGAAAGGGAAUUAGGCUUACACCUAGUUCCUAAAUAAUUUUGGUGGUUGAAUUGCCCAACACAAAUAUUGGACUAACUAGUUUGCUCUAGUGUAUAAGUUAUACAGGUGCAAAAGGUUCACACUUAGCCAAUAAAAAGACCAGGUAUUGGGUUCAAAUAAAGGAGCAAGGGUCAACCGAAGGCACCUCUGGUCUGGCGCACCGGACUGUCCGGUGUGCCACCGGACAUGUCCGGUGCACCAGAGGACUCCCACUUCGAACUGCUCACCUUCGGGAAUUUCCAGAGGCAACUCCGCAAUAAUUCACCGGACUGUCCGGUGUGCACCGGACAUGUCCGGUGCUCCAAGGAAGAGCGGCCUCCGGAACUCGCCAGCCUCGGGAAUUCAUUGAAGCUGCUCCGCUAUAAUUCACCGGACUGUCCGGUGUACACCGGACUGUCCGGUGUAACAGCGGGGCAACGACUAUUUCGGCGCCAACGGCUACCUGCGACGCAUUAAAUGCGCGCGCAGCGCGCGCAGAGGUCAGGCACGCCCAUGCUGGCGCACCGGACAAUCUACAGUACAUGUCCGGUGCGCCACCGGACAUCCAGGCGGGCCCAGAGACAGAACUCCAACGGUCGAAUCCAAACGGCUUUGGUGACGUGGCUGUCGCACCGGAUAUGUCCGGUGUGCACCGGACUGUCCGGUGCGCCAUCGAACAGACAGCCUCACCAAACGGCUAGUUUGGUAGUUGGGGCUAUAAAUACCCCCAACCACCCACCAUUCAUAGUAUCUAAGUUUUCCACUUCCCAACUACUUACAAGAGCUCUAGCAUUCAAUUCUAGACACACCAAAGAGAUCAAAUCCUCUCCAAAUUCCACACAACGUCCUAGUGAUUAGAGAGAGAGAUUUGCUUAUGUUCUUUUGAGCUCUUGCGCUUGGAUUGCUUUCUUCUUUCUUGAUUCUUUCAUUGCGAUCAAACUCACUUGUAAUUGAGGCAAGAGACACCAAACUUGUGGUGGUCCUUGUGGGAACUUUGUGUUCCAAGUGAUUGAGAAGAGAAAGCUCACUCGGUCCGAGGGACCGUUUGAGAGAGAGGGUAAGGGUUGAAAGAGACCCGGCCUUUGUGGCCUCCUCAACGGGGAGUAGGUUUGAGAGAACCGAACCUCGGUAAAACAAAUCCGCGUGUCUCACUCGAUUAUUCGCUUGCGAUUUGUUUUGCACCUUCUCUCGCGGACUCUAUUAUAUUUCUAACGCUAAUCCGGCUUGUAGUUGUGAUUAUUUUUGAGAAUUUCAGUUUUGCCCUAUUCACCCCCCCUCUAGGCGACUUUCAAUUGGUAUCAGAGCACGGUGCUUCAUUAGAGCCUAACCGCUCGAAGUGAUGUCGGGAGAUCACACCAAGAGGGAGAUGGAGACAGGCGACAAGCCCACUACGAGCCAAGGGAGCACUUCAUCGGAAGAGUCCCGCACCAAGAGGAAGGAGAAGAAGAAGGACUCCUCCAAGCGGAAGGAGAAAAGAUCUUCUUCCUCACACCACAAAGAGAAGAAGGAAAAAUCUUCUUCCCACAAGUCGCAUCGGAAAGGCGACAAGCACAAGAGGAUGAGGAAAGUGGUCUACUACGAGACCGACACUUCAUCAACAUCUACCUCCGACUCUGAUGCGCCGUCCGUAACUUCUAAGCGCCAAGAGCGCAAGAAGUUUAGUAAGAUCCCCCUACACUAUCCUCGUACAUCUAGAUCUACUCCAUUACUUUCCGUUCCAUUAGGCAAACCGCCAACCUUUGAUGGCGAAGAUUAUGCUAGGUGGAGUGAUUUAAUGAAAUUUCAUCUAACCUCACUCCACAAAAGUAUAUGGAAUGUUGUUGAGUUUGGAGCACAUGUACCAUCUAUAGGGGAUGAGGAUUAUGAUACGGAUGAAGUGGCCCAAAUCGAGCACUUCAACUCCCAAGCUACAACCAUACUCCUCGCCUCUCUAAGCAAGGAGGAAUACAACAAGGUGCAAGGGUUGAAGAAUGCAAAGGAAAUUUGGGACCUUCUCAAGACCGCGCACGAGGGUGAUGAACUCACCAAGAUUACCAAGCGGGAAACGAUCGAGGGGGAGCUCGGUCGCUUUCGUCUUCGCCAAGGGGAGGAGCCACAAGAUAUGUACAACCGGCUCAAAACCUUGGUGAACCAAGUGCGCAACCUCGGGAGCAAGAAAUGGGAUGACCACGAAGUGGUUAAGGUCAUUUUGAGAUCACUUAUUUUCCUUAACCCCACUCAAGUUCAAUUAAUUCGUGGUAAUCCUAGAUACACACUAAUGACUCCCGAGGAAGUAAUCGGGAAUUUUGUGAGUUUUGAAUGCAUGAUUAAAGGAUCAAAGAAGAUCAACGAGCUUGACGAACCCUCCACGUCUGAAGCACAACCGGUGGCUUUUAAGGCGACGGAGGAGAAGAAGGAGGAGUCUACACCGAGUAGACAACCAAUUGACGCCUCCAAGCUCGACAAUGAGGAGAUGGCUUUAAUCAUCAAAAGCUUUCGCCAAAUCCUCAAGCAAUGGAAGGGGAAGGAUUACAAAUCCCGUUCCAAGAAGGUUUGCUACAAGUGUGGUAAGCCCGGUCAUUUCAUUGCAAAAUGUCCUAUAUCUAGUGACAGUGACAGGGGCAACGACAAGAAGGGAAAGAGGAGAGAAAAGAAGAGGUACUACAAGAAGAAGGGCGGCGAUGCCCAUGUUUGCCGGGAGUGGGACUCGGACGAGAGCUCCACCGACUCCUCCUCCGACGACGAGGACGCCGCCGACAUCGCCGUCACCAAGGGACUCCUCUUCCCCAACAUCGGCCACAAAUGUCUCAUGGCAAAGGACGGCAAAAGGAAGAAGGUUAAAUCUAAAUCCUCCACUAAAUAUGAGUCCUCUAGUGAUGAUAAUGCUAGUGAUGAGGAAAAUAAUUUGCGUACCCUUUUUGCCAACCUUAACAUGGAACAAAAGGAAAAAUUGAAUGAGCUAAUUAGUGCCAUCCAUGAAAAGGAUGAUCUCUUGGACUCCCAAGAGGACUUCCUAAUCAAGGAAAAUAAAAAACAUGUUAAGGUUAAGAAUGCUUAUGCUCUAGAGGUAGAAAAAUGUGACAAAUUAUCUAGUGAGCUAAGCACAUGUCAUGACACUAUUGCCAACCUUAGAAAUGAAAAUGCCAAAUUAAUUGCUAAGGUUGAUUCUCAUGUUUGUGAUGUUUCAAUUCCCAACCUUAGAAAUGAUAAUAAUGAUUUGCUUGCUAAGAUUAAGGAAUUGAAUGAUUCUCUUGCUAGUCUUAGAAUUGAAAAUGAAAAAUUAAUUGCUAAGACUAAAGAUUUUGAUGUUUGCAAUGCUACUAUUUCUAACCUUAGAAGUGAAAAUGAUAUAUUACAUGCUAAGGUUGUAGAAUUUAAAUCUUGCAAACCCUCUACAUCUACUAUUGAGCAUGUGUCUAUCUGUGAUAGAUGUAGAGAUGUUGAUAUCAAUGCUAUUCAUGAUCACAUGGUAUUAAUUAAGCAACAAAAUGAUCAUGUAGCAAAAUUAGAUGCUAAAAUUGCCGAGCAUAACUUAGAAAAUGAAAAAUUUAAAUUUGCUAGAAGUAUGCUCUAUAAUGGGAGACGCCCUGGCAUCAAGGAUGGCAUUGGCUUCCAAAGGGGAGACAAUGUCAAACUUAAUGCCCCUCCUAAAAACUUGUCUAACUUUGUUAAGGGCAAGGCUCCCAUGCCUCAGGAUAACGAGGGUUACAUUUUGUACCCUGCCGGUUAUCCCGAGAGCAAAAUUAGGAGAACUCAUUCUAGGAAGUCUCACUCUGGCCCUAACCAUGCUUUUAUGUAUAAGGGUGAGACAUCUAGCUCUAGGCAACCAACCCGUGCCAAGUUGCCUAGAAAGAAAACUCCUAUUGCAUCAAAUGAUCAUAGCAUUUCAUUUAAAACUUUUGAUGCAUCUUAUGUUUUGACUAACAAAUCCGGCAAAGUAGUUGCCAAGUUUGUUGGGGGCAAACACAAGGGCUCCAAGACUUGUGUUUGGGUACCCAAAGUUCUUGUUUCUAAUGCCAAAGGACCCAAAACCGUUUGGGUACCUAAAGUCAAGAACUAAAAUUGUUUUGUAGGUUUAUGCAUCCGGGGGCUCAAGUUGGAUACUCGACAGCGGGUGCACAAACCACAUGACAGGGGAGAAGAAGAUGUUCUCCUCAUAUGAGAAAAACCAAGAUCCCCAACGAGCUAUCACAUUCGGGGAUGGAAAUCAAGGUUUGGUCAAAGGAUUGGGUAAAAUUGCUAUAUCACCUGACCAUACUAUUUCCAAUGUUUUUCUUGUAGAUUCUUUAGAUUACAAUUUGCUUUCUGUAUCUCAAUUAUGUCAAAUGGGCUACAACUGUCUCUUUACUGAUGUAGGUGUCACUGUCUUUAGAAGAAGUGAUGAUUCAAUAGCGUUUAAGGGUGUGUUAGAAGGUCAGCUAUACUUGGUAGAUUUUGAUAGAGCUGAACUCGACACAUGCUUAAUUGCUAAGACUAACAUGGGUUGGCUUUGGCACCGCCGACUAGCCCAUGUUGGAAUGAAGAAUCUUCAUAAGCUUCUAAAGGGAGAGCACAUUUUAGGACUAACAAAUGUUCAUUUUGAGAAAGACAGGAUUUGUAGCGCAUGCCAAGCAGGAAAGCAAGUUGGGUCCCAACAUCCACACAAGAACAUCAUGACGACCGACAGGCCACUUGAGCUACUCCACAUAGAUCUAUUCGGCCCGAUUGCUUACAUAAGCAUCGGCGGGAGUAAGUAUUGUCUUGUAAUAGUGGAUGAUUAUUCUUGCUUCACUUGGGUAUUCUUUUUGCAGGAUAAAUCCCAUACCCAAGAGACCUUAAAGGGAUUCUUGAGACGGGCUCAAAAUGAGUUCGGCUUAAGGAUCAAGAAAAUUAGAAGCGACAACGGGACGGAGUUCAAGAACUCUCAAAUUGAAGGCUUCCUUGAGGAGGAGGGCAUCAAGCAUGAGUUCUCUUCUCCCUACACCCCACAACAAAAUGGUGUAGUGGAGAGGAAGAAUCGAACUCUAUUGGACAUGGCAAGAACCAUGCUUGAUGAGUACAAGACACCGGAUCGGUUUUGGGCCGAGGCGGUCAACACCGCCUGCUACGCCAUCAACCGGUUAUAUCUACACCGAAUCCUCAAGAAGACAUCCUAUGAACUCCUAACCGGUAAAAAGCCCAAUAUUUCAUAUUUUAGAGUUUUUGGUAGCAAAUGCUUUAUUCUUAUUAAGAGAGGUAGAAAAUCCAAAUUUGCUCCUAAAACUGUAGAAGGCUUUUUACUAGGAUAUGACUCAAACACAAGGGCAUAUAGAGUCUUUAACAAGUCCUCAGGACUUGUUGAAGUUUCUUGUGACGUUGUGUUUGACGAGACUAACGGCUCUCAAGUAGAGCAAGUUGAUCUUGAUGAGAUAGGUGAAGAACAGGCUCCAUGCAUAGCGCUAAAGAACAUGUCCAUUGGGGAUGUGUGUCCUAAGGAAUCCGAAGAGCCUCCACAUGCACAAGAUCAACCAUCCUCCUCCAUGCAAGCAUCUCCACCAACCCAAAAUGAGGACGAGACUCAAGUUGAUGAAGUAGAAGAUCAAAUAGAUGGGCCGCCUCAAGAUGACGGCAAUGAUCAAGGGGGAGAUGCAAAUGAUCAAGACAAGGAGGAUGAACAACCAAGGCUGCCACACCCAAGAGUCCACCAAGCAAUACAACGAGAUCACCCCGUCGACACCAUCCUCGGCGACAUUCAUAAGGGGGUAACCACUCGAUCUCGUGUUGCACAUUUUUGUGAGCAUUACUCUUUUGUUUCCUCUAUUGAGCCACACAGGGUAGAGGAAGCACUCCAAGACUCGGAUUGGGUGAUGGCGAUGCAAGAGGAGCUCAACAACUUCACGAGGAACGAGGUAUGGCAUUUAGUUCCACGUCCUAACCAAAAUGUUGUAGGAACCAAGUGGGUCUUCCGCAACAAACAAGACGAGCAUGGUGUGGUGACAAGGAACAAAGCUCGACUCGUGGCCAAGGGGUAUUCACAAGUCGAAGGUUUGGAUUUUGGUGAAACCUAUGCACCCGUAGCUAGGCUUGAGUCAAUUCGCAUAUUAUUAGCCUAUGCUACUUACCAUGGCUUCAAGCUUUAUCAAAUGGACGUGAAGAGUGCCUUCCUCAAUGGACCAAUCAAGGAGGAGGUCUAUGUUGAGCAACCUCCCGGCUUUGAAGACAGUGAGUAUCCUAACCAUGUCUAUAAGCUCUCUAAGGCGCUUUAUGGGCUCAAGCAAGCCCCAAGAGCAUGGUAUGAAUGCCUUAGAGAUUUCCUUAUUGCAAAUGGCUUCAAAGUCGGCAAGGCCGAUCCUACUCUGUUCACUAAAACUCUUGACAAUGAUUUGUUCGUAUGCCAAAUUUAUGUUGAUGAUAUUAUAUUUGGGUCUACUAACGAAUCUACAUGUGAAGAAUUUAGUAGGAUCAUGACAAAGAAAUUCGAGAUGUCUAUGAUGGGGGAGUUGAAGUAUUUUCUAGGAUUCCAAGUCAAGCAACUCCAAGAGGGCACCUUCAUUAGCCAAACGAAGUACACUCAAGAAAUUCUAACCAAGUUUGGAAUGAAGGAUGCCAAGCCCAUCAAGACACCCAUGGGAACCAAUGGGCAUCUCGACCUCGACACGGGAGGUAAGUCCGUGGAUCAAAAGGUAUACCGGUCGAUGAUUGGUUCAUUGCUUUAUUUAUGUGCAUCUCGACCGGACAUUAUGCUUUCCGUUUGCAUGUGUGCAAGAUUCCAAUCCGACCCUAAGGAAUCACACCUUACGGCCGUAAAACGAAUCUUGAGAUAUUUGGCUUAUACUCCUAAGUUUGGGCUUUGGUACCCUCGGGGAUCCACAUUUGAUUUGAUUGGUUAUUCGGAUGCCGAUUGGGCGGGGUGUAAGAUUAAUAGAAAGAGCACAUCGGGGACUUGCCAGUUCUUGGGAAGAUCCUUGGUGUCUUGGGCUUCAAAGAAGCAAAAUUCGGUCGCUCUUUCCACCGCCGAAGCCGAGUAUAUUGCCGCAGGCCAUUGUUGCGCGCAAUUGCUUUGGAUGAGGCAAACCCUGUGGGACUAUGGUUACAAAUUGACCAAAGUUCCUCUUCUAUGUGAUAAUGAGAGUGCAAUCCGCAUGGCGGAUAAUCCCGUUGAGCAUAGCCGCACUAAACACAUAGCCAUUCGGUAUCAUUUUCUUAGGGAUCACCAACAAAAGGGGGAUAUCGAGAUUUCAUACAUUAACACUAAAGAUCAAUUAGCCGAUAUCUUUACUAAGCCUCUUGAUGAACAAACUUUUACCAAACUUAGGCAUGAGCUCAAUAUUCUUGAUUCCAGGAAUUUCUUUUGCUAAUUUGCACACAUAGCACACAAGUAUACCUUUGAUCAUGUCUCUUUUAUAUAUGCUAUGACUAAUGUGUUUUCAAGUGUAUUCAAACCAAGUCAUAGGUAUAUUGAAAGGGAAUUGGAGUCUUCGGCGAAGACAAAGGCUUCCACUCCACUCUACUACUCAUCCUUCGCCGUCACUCCAAGCAUCUCUCCAACUUUGGUAUAAUCUUCACUCAUUUAUUUUAUAACCAAAGGAGGAGAAAGUAUUUCGUAGGGCUCUAAUGAUUCCGUUUUUGGCGAUUCAUGCCAAAGGGGGAGAGAGUAUGAGCCCAAAGCAAAAGGACCGCACCACCACCUAUUUUUUUUAAAACUAAUGAUUUUCAAAUUGGAAAAUUUCAAAUUGGUAUUCUAUUGUGUUCAAAAGGGGGAGAGAGCAGUAUCUUCAAAAUCGAUAUCUUAAAACCCUCUUGAACACUAAGAGGAGGAUUUCAUUAAGGGGGAGUUUUUGUUUAGGCAAAGGAAAAGCAUUUGGAACAGGGGGAGAAAAUUUCAAAUCUUGAAAAUGAUUCGCAAAAUCUUAUUCAUUUACCUUUGACUAUUUGCAAAAGAACUUUGAAAAGGAUUUACUAAAGAAUUUGCAAAAACAAAACAUAUGGUGCAAGCGUGGUCCAAAAUGUCAAAAACAAAGAAAUAAUCCAUGCACAUCUAGUAAGUAACAUUUAUUGGCUCAAUUCCAAGCAACCUUUGCACUUACAUUAUGCAAACUAGUUCAAUUAUGCACUUCUAUAUUUGCUUUGGUUUGUGUUGGCAUCAAUCACCAAAAAGGGGGAGAUUGAAAGGGAAUUAGGCUUACACCUAGUUCCUAAAUAAUUUUGGUGGUUGAAUUCCCCAACACAAAUAUUGGACUAACUAGUUUGCUCUAGUGUAUAAGUUAUACAGGUGCAAAAGGUUCACACUUAGCCAAUAAAAAGACCAGGUAUUGGGUUCAAAUAAAGGAGCAAGGGUCAACCGAAAGCACCUCUGGUCUGGCGCACCGGACUGUCCGGUGUGCCACCGGACAUGUCCGGUGCACCAGAGGACUCCCACUUCGAACUGCUCACCUUCGGGAAUUUCCAGAGGCAACUCCGCUAUAAUUCACCGGACUGUCUGGUGUGCACCGGACAUGUCCGGUGCUCCAAGGAAGAGCGGCCUCCGGAACUCGCCAGCCUCGGGAAUUCAUUGAAGCUGCUCCGCUAUAAUUCAUCGGACUGUCCGGUGUAACAGCGGGGCAACGUCUAUUUCGGCGCCAACGGCUACCUGCGACGCAUUAAAUGCGCGCGCAGCACGCGCAGAGGUCAGGCACGCCCAUGCUGGCGCACCGGACAAUCUACAGUACAUGUCCGGUGCGCCACCGGACAUCCAGGCGGGCCCAGAGACAGAACUCCAACGGUCGAAUCCAAACGGCUUUGGUGACGUGGCUGUCGCACCGGACAUGUCCGGUGUGCACCGGACUGUCCGGUGCGCCAUCGAACAGACAGCCUCACCAAACGGCUAGUUUGGUAGUUGGGGCUAUAAAUACCCCCAACCACGCACCAUUCAUAGUAUCUAAGUUUUCCACUUCCCAACUACUUACAAGAGCUCUAGCAUUCAAUUCUAGACACACCAAAGAGAUCAAAUCCUCUCCAAAUUCCACACAACGUCCUAGUGAUUAGAGAGAGAGAUUUGCUUAUGUUCUUUUGAGCUCUUGCGCUUGGAUUGCUUUCUUCUUUCUUGAUUCUUUCAUUGCGAUCAAACUCACUUGUAAUUGAGGCAAGAGACACCAAACUUGUGGUGGUCCUUGUGGGAACUUUGUGUUCCAAGUGAUUGAGAAGAGAAAGCUCACUCGGUCUGAGGGACCGUUUGAGAGAGAGGGUAAGGGUUGAAAGAGACCCGGCCUUUGUGGCCUCCUCAACGGGGAGUAGGUUUGAGAGAACCGAACCUCGGUAAAACAAAUCCGCAUGUCUCACUCGAUUAUUCGCUUGCGAUUUGUUUUGCACCCUCUCUCACGGACUCUAUUAUAUUUCUAACGCUAAUCCGGCUUGUAGUUGUGAUUAUUUUUGAGAAUUCCAGUUUCGCCCUAUUCACCCCCCCUCUAGGCGACUUUCAAUUAUCCGCCAUGCGGAUUGCACUCUCAUUAUCACAUAGAAGAGGAACUUUGGUUAAUUUGUAACCAUAGUCCCUAAGGGUUUGCUUCAUCCAAAGUAGUUGCGCGCAACAAUGUCCUGCGGCAAUGUACUCGGCUUCGGCGGUAGAAAGAUCAACGGAAUUUUGCUUCUUUGAGGCCCAAGACACCAAGGAUCUUCCCAAGAACUGGCAAGUCCCCGAUGUGCUCUUUCUAUUGAUUUUACACCCCGCCCAAUCGGCAUCGGAAUAACCAAUUAAAUCAAAUGUGGAUCCCCUAGGAUACCAAAGCCCAAACUUAGGAGUAUAAACUAAAUAUCUUAAGAUUCGUUUUACGGCCGUUAGGUGAGCUUCCUUAGGGUCGGCUUGGAAUCUUGCACACAUGCAUACGGAAAGCAUAAUAUCCGGUCGAGAUGCACAUAAGUAGAGUAAAGAACCUAUCAUCGACCGGUAUACCUUUUGAUCGACGGAUUUACCUUCCUCGUCGAGGUCGAGAUGCCCAUUGGUUACCAUGGGUGUCUUGAUGGGUUUGGCAUCCUUUAUUCCAAACUUGCUUAGAAUAUCUUGAGUAUACUUCGUUUGGCUUAGGAAGGUGCCUUCUUGGAGUUGCUUUACUUGAAAUCCUAAAAAAUACUUCAACUCCCCCAUCAUAGACAUCUCGAACUUUUGUGUCAUGAUCCUACUAAAUUCUUCACAUGUAGACUCGUUAGUAGACCCAAAUAUAAUAUCAUCAACAUAAAUUUGGCAUACAAACAAGUCAUUUUCAAGAGUUUUAGUGAAGAGUGUAGGAUCGGCCUUUCCGACUUUGAAUUCAUUAGUGAUAAGGAAAUCCCUAAGGCAUUCAUACCAUGCUCUUGGGGCUUGCUUGAGCCCAUAAAGCGCCUUAGAGAGUUUAUACACAUGGUUAGGGUACUCACUAUCUUCAAAGCCGGGAGGUUGCUCAACAUAGACCUCUUCCUUGAUUGGUCCAUUGAGUAAGGCACUCUUCACGUCCAUUUGAUAAAGCUUGAAGCCAUGGUAAGUAGCAUAGGCCAAUAAUAUACGAAUUGACUCAAGCCUAGCUACGGGUGCAUAGGUUUCACCGAAAUCCAAACCUUCGACUUGGGAGUAUCCCUUGGCCACAAGUCGGGCUUUGUUCCUUGUCACCACACCAUGCUCGUCUUGCUUGUUGCGGAAGACCCAUUUGGUUCCUACAACAUUUUGAUUAGGACGUGGAACUAAAUGCCAUACCUCAUUCCUAGUGAAGUUGUUGAGCUCCUCUUGCAUCGCCACUACCCAAUCCGAAUCUUGAAGCGCUUCCUCUACCCUGUGUGGCUCAAUAGAGGAAACAAAAGAGUAAUGUUCACAAAAAUGUGCAACACGAGAUCUAGUGGUUACCCCCUUAUGAAUGUCGCCGAGGAUGGUGUCGACGGGGUGAUCUCGUUGGAUUGCUUGGUGGACUCUUGGGUGUGGCGGCCUUUGCUCUUCAUCCUCCUUGUCUUGCUCAUUUGCAUCUCCCCCUUGAUCAUUGCCGUCAUCUUGAGGUGGCUCAUUUGCUUGAUCUUCUCCUUCAUCCAUUUGAGCCUCAUCCUCAUUUUGAGUCGGUGGAGAUGCUUGCGUGGAGGAGGAUGGUUGAUCUUGUGCAUUUGGAGGCUCUUCGGAUUCUUUAGGACACACAUCCCCAAUGGACAUGUUCCUUAGCGCGAUGCACGGAUCCUCUUCAUCACCUAUCUCAUCAAGAUCAACUUGCUCUACUUGAGAGCCGUUAGUCUCAUCAAACACAACGUCACAAGAAACUUCAACUUGUCCAGAGGACUUGUUAAAGACUCUAUAUGCCCUUGUGUUUGAAUCAUAUCCUAGUAAAAAGCCUUCUACAGACUUAGGAGCAAAUUUAGAUUUUCUACCUCUUUUAACAAGUAUAAAGCAUUUGCUACCAAAGACUCUAAAAUAUGAAAUAUUGAGCUUUUUACCGGUUAGGAGUUCAUAUGAUGUCUUCUUGAGGAUUCGGUGUAGAUACAACCGGUUGAUGGCGUAGCAGGCGGUGUUGACCGCCUCGGCCCAAAACCGAUCCGAAGUCUUGUACUCAUCAAGCAUGGUUCUUGCCAUGUCCAAUAGAGUUCUAUUCUUCCUCUCCACUACACCAUUUUGCUGUGGGGUGUAGGGAGAAGAGAACUCAUGCUUGAUGCCCUCCUCCUCAAGAAAGUCAUCUAUUUGUGAGUUCUUGAACUCCGUCCCGUUGUCGCUUCUAAUCUUUUUGAUCCUUAAGUCGAACUCAUUUUGAGCUCGUCUUAAGAAUCCCUUUAAUGUUUCUUGGGUAUGAGAUUUUUCCUGCAAAAAGAAUACCCAAGUGAAGCGAGAAUAAUCAUCCACAAUAACUAGACAGUACUUACUCCCGCCGAUGCUUAUGUAAGCUAUCGGGCCGAAUAGAUCCAUGUGUAGGACCUCCAGUGGCCUGUCAGUCGUCAUGAUGUUCUUGUGUGGAUGAUGAGCACCAACUUGCUUCCCUGCUUGGCAUGCGCUACAAAUCCUGUCUUUCUCAAAAUGAACAUUGGUUAAUCCUAAAAUGUGCUCUCCCUUUAGAAGCUUAUGAAGAUUCUUCAUCCCAACAUGUGCUAGUCGGUGAUGCCAGAGCCAGCCCAUGUUAGUCUUAGCAAUUAGGCAAGUGUCGAGUUCAGCUUUAUCAAAAUUCACUAAGUAUAGCUGACCCUCUAACACUCCCUUAAAUGCUAUUGAAUCAUCACUUCUUCUAAAGACAGUGACACCUACAUCAGUGAAUAAACAGUUGUAGCUCAUUUUGCAUAAUUGAGAUACAGAAAGCAAAUUGUAAUCUAAUGAAUCUACAAGAAAAACAUUGGAAAUGGAAUGGUCAGGAGAUAUAGCAAUUUUACCCAAACCCUUGACCAAACCUUGGUUUCCAUCCCCGAAUGUGAUAGCUCGUUGGGGAUCCCGGUUUUUCUCGUAGGAGGAGAACAUCUUCUUCUCCCCUGUCAUGUGGUUUGUGCAUCCGCUGUCGAUGAUCCAACUUGAGCCCCCGGAUGCAUAAACCUACAAAACAUGUUUAGUUCUUGACUUUAGGUACCCAAAUGGUUUUGGGUCCUUUGGCAUUAGAUACAAGAACUUUGGGUACCCAAACACAAGUCUUUGAGCCGUUGUGCUUGCCCCCAACAUAUUUGGCAACUACCUUGCCCGGAUUUGUUAGUUAGAACAUAAGAUGCAUCAAAGGUUUUAAAUGAAAUGUCAUGAUCAUUUGAUGCACUAGGAGUUUUCUUCUUAGGCAACUUAGCACGGGUUGGUUGCCUAGAACUAGAUGUCUCACCCUUAUACAUAAAAGCAUGAUUAGGGCCAGAGUGAGACUUCAUAGAGUGAAUUCUCCUAAUUUUGCUCUCGGGAUAACCGGCAGGGUACAAAAUGUAACCCUCGUUAUCCUGAGGCAUGGGAGCCUUGCCCUUAACAAAAUUAGACAAUUUCUUAGGAGGGGCAUUAAGUUUGACAUUGUCCUCCUUUUGGAAGCCAAUGCCAUCCUUAAUGCCAGGGCGUCUCCCACUAUAAAGCAUACUACGAGCAAAUUUAAAAUUUUCAUUCUCAAGUUCAUGCUCGGCAAUUUUAGCAUCUAAUUUUGCUAUAUGAUCAUUUUGUUGUUUAAUUAAAGCCAUGUGAUCAUGUAUAUCAUUAACAUCAAUAUCUCUACAUCUAGUACAAAUGGAAGUGUGCUCAAUGGUAGAUGUAGAGGGUUUUCAAGAUUUUAAUUCUACAACCUUAGCAUGCAAUAUAUCAUUUUUAGUUCUAAGGUCAGAAAUUGUAGCAUUGCAAACAUCUAAUUCUUUAGCCUUAGCAAGCAAUUUUUCAUUUUCAAUCCUAAGGCUAGCAAGAGAUAUGUUUAAUUCUUCAAUCUUAGCAAGCAAAUCAUCAUUAUCAUUUCUAAGAUUGGGAAUUGAAACAUUACAAGCAAUAGAAUCAACCUUAGCUAACAGAUUAGAAUUCUCAUUCCUAAGGUUGUCUAUAGUCUCAUGGCAAGUGCUUAGCUCACUAGAUAAUUUUUCACAUUUUUCAACUUCUAUAGCAUAAGCAUUUUUAACCUUAACAUGUUUUUUGUUUUCCUUGAUUAGGAAGUCCUCUUGGGAGUCCAAGAGAUCACCCUUCUCAUGAAUGGCGCUAAUUAAUUCAUUUAACUUCUCCUUUUGUUGCAUGUUUAAGUUUGCAAAAAGAGUACGCAAAUUAUCUUCCUCAUCACUAGCAUUAUCAUCACUAGAGGACUCAUAUCUAGUGGAGGAUUUGGAUUUAACCUUCUUCAUUUUGCCGUCCUUUGCCAUGAGGCACUUGUGGCCGACGUUGGGGAAGAGAAGUCCCUUGGUGACGGCGAUGUUGACGGCGUCCUCGUCGUCGGAGGAGUCGCUUGAGCUUUCGUCGGAGUCCCACUCGCGACAAACAUGGGCAUCGCCGCCCUUCUUCUUGUAGUACCUCUUCUUCUCCUUUCUUCUCCCCUUCUUGUCAUCGCCCCUAUCACUGUCACUAGAUAUAGGACAUUUUGCAAUAAAAUGACCGGGCUUACCACAUUUGUAGCACACUUUCUUGGAGCGGGGUUUGUAGUCUUUCCCCCUCCUUUGUUUGAGGAUUUGGCGGAAGCUCUUGAUGACGAGCGCCAUUUCCUCAUUGUCGAGCUUGGAGGCGUCGAUUGGUUGUCUACUUGGUGUAGUUUCCUCCUUCUUCUCCUCCGUCGCCUUGAAUGCGACCGGUUGUGCUUCGGAUGUGGAGGGGUCGUCAAGCUCGUUGAUCUUUCGUGAGCCCUUGAUCAUAAAUUCAAAGCUCACGAAAUUCCCGAUUACUUCCUCGGGAGUCAUUAGUGUAUAUCUUGGGUUGCCACGAAUUAAUUGUACUUGAGUAGGGUUAAGGAAAAUAAGAGAUCUUAGAAUAACCUUAACCACCUCGUGGUCAUCCCACUUUUUGCUCCCGAGGUUGCGCACUUGAUUCACUAAGGUUUUGAGCCGGUUGUACAUAUCUUAUGGCUCCUCCCCUUGGCGAAGACGGAAGCGACCGAGCUCCCCCUCGAUCGUUUCUCGCUUGGUGAGUUCAUCACCCUCGUGCGCCGUCUUGAGCACGUCCCAAACUUCCUUGGCGCUUUUUAGUCCUUGCACCUUGUUGUACUCCUCCCUACUUAGAGAGGCGAGGAGUAUGGUUGUGGCUUGGGAGUUGAAGUGCUCGAUUUGGGCCACCUCGUCCUCAUCAUAAUCCUCAUCCCCUACGGAUGGUACCUGUGCUCCAAACUCAACAACAUUCCAUAUACUUUUGUGGAGUGAGGUUAGAUGAAAUUUCAUUAAAUCACUCCACCUAGCAUAAUCUUCACCGUCAAAGGUUGGCGGUUUGCCUAAUGGAACGGAAAGUAAUGGAGUAUGUCUAGAAGUACGAGGAUAAUGUAAGGGGAUCUUACUAAACUUCUUGCGCUCAUGGCGCUUAGAAGUUAUGGAGGGCGCGUCGGAGCCGGAGGUAGAAGGUGAUGAAGUGUCGGUCUCGUAGUAGACCACUUUCCUCAUCUUCUUUAUUUUGUCGCCACUCCGAUGCGACUUGUGGGAAGAAGUCUUCUUUUCCUUCUUCUUUUCCUUCUUCUUAUCCUUGUUGCGGGACUCUCCCGAUAGAGCUUUCUCGUUGCUUGUAGUGGGCUUUUCGCCGGUCUCCAUCUCCUUCUUGGCGUGAUCUCCCGACAUCACUUCGAGCGGUUAGGCUCUAAUGAAGAACCGGGCUCUGAUACCAAUUGAAAGUCGCCUAGAGGGGGGGUGAAUAGGGCAAAACUGAAAUUUACAAAGUUAAUCACAACUACAAGCCGGGUUAGCAUUAGAAAUAUAAUUGAGUCCGCGAGAGAGGGUGCAAAACAAAUCACAAGCAAAUAAAGAGUGUGACACGUGGAUUUGUUUUACCGAGGUUCGGUUCUCGCAAACCUACUCCCCGUUGAGGUGGUCACAAAGACCGGGUCUCUUUCAACCCUUUCCCUCUCUCAAACGGUCCCUCGGACCGAGUGAUCUUCUUCUUCUCAAUCAAACGAGAACAAACUUCCCGGCAAGGACCACCACACAAUUGGUGUCUCUUGCCUUGGUUACAAUUGAGUUGAUCGCAAGAGAGAUUGAAAGAAAAGCACGAUUGCAAAAGCCAAGCGACAAGAGCGACAAAUAACACACGGAUCACUUUCUCUCUCAAGUCACUAAUCACUAAUGAUCUCUUUUCUCAAUUGUGAAACUUGGAGAGAUGGAGGCUUUGAAUGUGUCUUGGAAUGGUUUGCUAGCUCUUGUAUUGAAUGUUGAAGGUUGGAAUGCUUGGAUGAUGUGAAUGGAGGUGGUUGGGGUUGUAUUUAUAGCCACCAACCACUUCCUAGCCGUUGCUCCAUUCUGCCGACCGCGGACGGUCCGCCCGCCUGGUCCAGACGGUCCGCGACUGUAUAUCAACGGCUGAAAACGCAACGGUCAGCAGUAACGGCUAUAUCAAUGGCUAUAUUGCAUUUAAUGCGUCGUCAGAUGUCAAAUAAAGCCAGUCGCGGACGGUCCGGUCGUGCACCCCGGACGGUCCGCGAGGACGCUAUAAUUCAUUUUUCCGAACCCGUCACCUUCGGGGUUUUCGGUUUCUCAUCUACCGGACGGUCCGCGCCUGAAGCCGGACGGUCCGCGCGAGGUCUCGGACGGUCCUUGCUUUUCCUCCGGACGGUCCGUAGUGCAGACUUGGAUUUUUGCAUUGGUUCUGUCCGAGGGUCAUCCUGGUGUUGCGGACGGUCCACCGUAAGUGCCCGGACGGUCCGCGCUUGGCCUGUUUUUCCAAAAAGCUUCUCCUGUCCGGAAUAAUCUACGGUAUUCCGGACAGUCGAUUUAGUAUAGUUGUAGAUGAACCUUUGGCACCUGUAGAACAUAUAUUCUAGAGCAAACUAGUUAGUCCAAUUAUUUGUGUUGGGCAAUUCAACCACCAAAAUUAAUUAGGAACAAGGUGUAAGCCUAAUUCCCUUUCAGUAACACCUGAAUUUGGUGGAUAUUAGAAAAUAAAUUUUAUACCCUCAAAUUCAGGGUGUUACAAUGUCCUAGUUUAAGUUUGGUUGAUUUAGAUUUGUUUUUUGUUCAUUUUUUAUUUUACUGAUCUCUUCGACCCUUCUUGUGCUUCACCGAAACCCUGAUUCAGAGCCAAAUCUUUAAACGACCAUAACUUUUUUGCUUGAAACUUGAAACAAGGGGCAUUUUUUUUGAAAUCAGAUGAUUUUUUUGCAUUCAUUUCUCCCUCGCUUCGUCGGGUUUUUGUUUUCAGAAUUCCCAAAUUUGUCAUGGAAAUACGAGUUCUCAUUUUCCAAAAGUUUUUGCCGAAUUUUCAUUGAAUUUACCAAUUUUCCAUAGGCCACAUCUUUCUACAAAAAAACCCUCAAACUUGGUAUGUUUCCUUUUAUGUGCUACUAAAAAAUAUUUGAAAAAAUAAAACCACAAAAAAUUGAAUGGAGCAAAAAAUCAUGAAAAGACAAAAAGACAAAAAUAGUUGCACAUAAGCAGAAACUCCAUUGAGUUGUGCACCUCUAUGAUUGUUCUUGCUUUCAACUUGUGUCCUUGUUGUUCCUAGAUCCUUAUUACCUCCUUUCCGCCUUAUGUUUUGAACCAUCACAUCUUCAUAUGAGUUAAACUGAUGGCUUCAAAUCACGUCUCCUAAUGUUGUGAUCCUUAUCACAAUAUGACUCUUCAUAAUCUGAUUAAUUCGUCGACAUAUUACAAGUACUCUCUUCUUUACCCUAGCCAUGGUAUCUUGGUCCACAAGCCAUUUGUUUGACCUUCACCUUUUCCGGGUCCCUUAAAGCACUUUUUGUGGCUGUCUUGCCCCUAUCAGACCAUCUCCAAGUCAUAUAACAUUGAAAACUAACUUAGUCAAUGUCCAUUCGUUCCUCACAUCUUUCUUUCAACAAAGAUUACUCAACAUUGCAUGACUUCUCUUGAGCUUGGUUAGUCCCUUGACUAAGUGCAAGUACUUACUGUUUCACCUUAGCAUUGGUACCUCGAGCUACAAGCCUUCUACUUGACCUUCUCCUUUGCUCAGUACUUUGAAGUCAUUUGCCUUGUUAUUCACCUUAUCAAGCCUUCCUUAAGCCACACAUCUUGAGUGUGCAUUGAAUAUCCUCUUCCUUAGAAUAUGAUCAAUGUCCAUCUAAUUUUCUUAAGCCACACAUCAUGAGUAAUACUCUAUUACAAAGUUUAGUGCAAUAUAUGCUGAGAAUGUACCUUCCAUUAAGGCAAAGCAAUAGUGGGAUAUAGUUGAUUCUAGUUUUGUGCUACAUGCUCCGAUACAAGCAAGAGCACCAGGAAGGCAAAGGAAGACUAGAAUAUGGGCGAUGGACUUAGACCAAGGAAGUGAAAAUGUAAAAAUGUGGCGAAUUGGAACAUAUUGUCAAAAAAAUUUUAAAAUGUAGUUGAUCCAACUUUUGGAGAAGACGAGCAUUAUGGUACAGAAAAUGCACCAUCCUCGUUGGAGCUCUCCAUUCUUGCAAGGUUUGAGUUGUGUUUCAAGUUGCUUCUUUUUCAAGUUACUAUAUUGCGAUAAGUAAUGAAAACCUUGCUCUUUUGUUGUAUGGUGAAAACAUGGUUGGUGGAGCCAUGGUGGAGCCCUCCAUCUUGUCUUGCUUGAGCCAUCCAUUCACGCAAGGUUCUAUUAAAUUUUAUGAGAGAGAUGUUGAAAGUUGUCUAGAGGGGGGGGGGUGAAUAGGUGAAACCUGAAUAUUAUAAAUUUUGAACACGAACUUCGCCUGAGGUUAGGAUUAGAAAUAAGUAAUAAUGAAUUCAGAGUGCGAAAGGAAGUUCUUCUUGCUAUGAGUUGCUCAAUCAAUGCGGAUGACUUUAGAAGCUAACUCAAAAAGAUUGUAAGCAAGAGAACUUAGAGAGAGGGGAGAGGAAGAAUCAAAUCGUAAGGUAAUGAUCAACACAAAUGAACACAACGAUUUAUUUCCCGAGGUUCGGUUCCAAUGAACCUACUCCCCAUUGAGGAGGCCACGAAGGUUGGGUCUUUUUCAACCCUUUCCCUCUCUCAAUCGAUCACUUAGACCGGUUGAGUGCUUCCUCUUAAUCUCAAGGAUUACUAAGACCCCGCAAGGACCACCACACACUUAGGUGUCUCUUGCUAGCUUUACAAGUCACUAGAGAGUUUAGAAAGAGGUGAAGGCAGCACAAUUAAAAAACCAAGCAACAAGAUCAACAAAUGAAACAUGAAUCACACUCUCUCAAGUCACUGAUCACUAAUGAUCACUUGUCUCAAUUGUGACACUUGGAGAGGUUUGGAAGCUUUGAAUGUGUCUUGUAAUGGAUCGCUUGCUCUUGUAUUGAAUGAGAGUGAAUAAAACGCUUGGGUGUGUUAAAUGGAGGUGGUUGGGGUUGUAUUUACAUCCACCAACCACUUCCUAGUUGUUGCCCUUGUUCUGCCAACCGCGGACGGUCCGCGGCCCUGGUCUGGCCCUGCACAUCAACGACUAAAAUCACAACGGUCAGCAGUAACGACUACAUCUACGACUAUAGUGCAUAAAAUGCGUCGUCAGAUGUCAGAUAAAGCAGCCACGGACGGUAUGCGAGGACACAAAAAAUGCAUUUUACCGAACCCGUCACCUUCGGGUUUUUCUGGUUUUUCAAUGUGCGGAUGGUCCGCGCCUGAGGUCGGACGACCCGAGCUUUGUCCCAGAUGGUGCUCUCUUUUCCUUCGGACAGUCUGCAAUGUAAAUGCGUGAUUUGCACAGUUCUUGUCCGAGGCACACCUUUGUGUCACGUACGGUCCGUCGGAAGGGCCCGAACGGUCCACGCACAAGUGAAUUCCAAAAAGAUUCUCCUGUCCGGAAUAAUCUAUGGUAUUCCGGACAGUCGACUUAGAAUUGAUGUAGAUGAACUUAUGCACCUGAGAAAUGAUCAACUAGGCAAACUAGUUAGUCCAUAUGAUUUGUGAUGGUCGUCAAGUGAAAGUCGCCUAGAGUGGGGUGAAUAGAGCGAAUCUGAAAUUUACAAACUUAAUCACAACUACAAGCCGGGUUAGCGUUAGAAAUAAGAAUGAGUCCGAGAGAGGGCAAACAACAAAUCUCAAGCAAAUAAAGAGUGUGACACAAGGAUUUGUUUUACCGAGGUUCGGUUCUUGCAAACCUACUCCCCGUUGAGGUGGUCACAAAGACCGGGUCUCUUUCAACCCUUUCCCUCUCUCAAACGUUCACUUAGACCGAGUGAGCUUCUCUUCUCAAUCAAACGGAACACGAAGUUCCCGCAAGGACCACCACACAACUGGUGUCUCUUGCCUUGGUUACAAUUGAGUUUGAUCACAAGAAUUAAGGAAGAAAAGAAGCGAUCCAAGUGCAAGAGCUCAAAUGAACAUGACAAAUCACUCUCUCUAAUCACUAAAGCUUUGUGUGGAGUUGGGAGAGGAUUUGAUCUCUUUGGUGUGUCUUGUAUUGAAUGCUAGCUCUUGUAAGGUGUAGAAGAGUGGAAAACUUGGAUGACUUGAAUGUGGGGGUGGUUGGGGUAUUUAUAGCCCCAACCACCAAACAUAACCGUUGGUGGAGGCUGCAGUCGACGGGCGCACCGGAUAGUCCGGUGCGCCACCAGACACUGUCCGGUGCGCCAGCCACGUCACCAGGCCGUUGGGUUCUGACCGUUGGAGCUCUGUCUUGUGGGCCCACCUGGCUGUCCGGUGGUGCACCGGACAGGCCCUGUAGGCUGUCCGGUGUGCCACCCACGCGUGCUCUGCUCCUCUGCGCGCGCAGGCACGCAUUUAAUGCGUUGCAGUCGACCGUUGCGCGCGAAGUAGCCGUUGCUCCGCUGUCACACCGGACAGUCCGGUGUGCACCGGACACGAUCCAGUGACUCAUCGGACAGUCCGGUGAAUUAUAGCGGAGCGGAUUCCCGAAGUUGGCGAGUUCAGAGUUGCUCUCCCUUGGGGCACCGGACAUUGUCCGGUGGUGCACCGGACAGUCCGGUGAAUUAUAGCGGAGCGCCUCUGAGAAUUCCCGAAGGUGUGGAGUUCAGCUUGGAGUCUCCUGGUGCACCGGACACUGUCCGGUGGUGCACCGGACAGUCCGGUGCGCCAGACCAGGGCACACUUCGGUUGUCCCUUGCUCUCUUUGUUUGAACCCUUUUCUUGGUCUUUUUAGGCCCUGUUUGGGACAGCUGCUGCUUGUUGAAAAAGCAACUUAUCUGAUAAGCUGGUAAAAAGCAGCUUCUGCUUGUUGGCUGCUUUUUGUUCAUUUUGAGAAGCAACUGAACUGAUAAGCUGCUGCAGAAGCUGCCUGUUUGGCAGGACUUCAGCUUAAAUUUGUGAAGAAGCUGAAAAUAAGCUGUGCCAAACAGGGCCUUAUUGGCUUAUGUGAACCUUUGGCACCUGUAUAACUUAUAGACUAGAGCAAGCUAGUUAGUCCAAUUAUUUGUGUUGGGCAAUUCAACCACCAAAAUCAAUUAGGAAAUAGGUGUAAGCCUAAUUCCCUUUCAAUAUCCCCCUUUUUGGUGAUUGGUGCCAACACAAACCAAAGCAAGUAUAGAAGUGCAUAAUUGAACUAGUUUGCAUAAUGUAAGUGCAAAGGUUACUUAGAAUUGAGCCAAUAUAAAUACUCAUAAGAUAUGCAUGGAUUGUUUCUUUAUUUUUAACAUUUUGGACCACGCUUGCACCAUAUGUUUUGUUUUUGCAAAUCCUUUUGUAAAUUCAUUUGAAGGUUCUUUUGCAAAUAGUCAAAGGUAAAUGAAUAAGAUUUAGAGAAGCAUCCUCAAGAUUUGAAAUUGAAUCCCCCUGUUUGAAAUGCUUUUCCUUUGACUAAAACAAAACUCCCCCUCAAUAAAUUCCUCCUCUUAGUGUUCAAGAGGGUUUUAAGAUAUCAAUUUUGAAAAUACUACUUUCUCCCCCUUUUGAACACAAUGAGAUACCAAUUUGAAAAUCAUAGUUUAAAAUUAGGUGGUGGUGCGAUCCUUUUGCUUUGGGCUAAUACUUUCUCCCCCUUUGGCAUGAAUCACCAAAAACGGAUACUUGAGUGAAAUAUAAGCCCAUGUUACUACUUUCUCCCCUUUGGCAAAUAAUAUAUGAGUGAAGAUUAUACCAAAGACGGAGAGUUGCUCGGAGCGACGUCGAAGGAUGAGUUAUGGAGUGGAGUGGAAGCCUUUGUCUUCGCCGAAGACUCCAAUUCUCUUUCAAUACACCUAUGACUUGUUUUGAAAUAUACUUGAAAACACAUUAGUCAUAGCAUAUAAAAGAGACAUGAUCAACAGUAUAUUCAUGAGUUAUGUAUGCAAGACAUCAAAAGAAAUUCCUAGAAUCAAGAAUAUUUAGCUCAUGCCUAAGUUUGUUAAAGGUUUGUUCAUCUAGUGGCUUGGUAAAGAUAUCGGCUAAUUGUUCCUUAGUGUUAAUAUAUGCAAUCUCGAUAUCUCCCUUUUGUUGGUGAUCCCUUAAGAAAUGAUACCGAAUGGCUAUGUGUUUAGUGCGGCUAUGCUCAACGGGAUUAUCCGCCAUGCGGAUUGCACUCUCAUUAUCACAUAGAAGAGGAACUUUGGUUAAUUUGUAACCAUAGUCCCUAAGGGUUUGCCUCAUCCAAAGUAAUUGCGCGCAACAAUGACCUGCAGCAAUAUACUCGGCUUCGGCGGUAGAAAGAGCGACGGAAUUUUGCUUCUUUGAAGCCCAAGACACCAAGGAUCUUCCCAAGAACUAGCAAGUCCCCGAUGUGCUCUUUCUAUUGAUUUUACACCCCGCCCAAUCGGCAUCCGAAUAACCAAUUAAAUCAAAAGUGGAUCCCCUAGGAUACUAAAGCCCAAACUUAGGAGUAUAAACUAAAUAUCUCAAGAUUCGUUUUACGGCCGUAAGGUGAGCUUCCUUAGGGUCGGCUUGGAAUCUUGCACACAUGCAUACGGAAAGCAUAAUAUCCGGUCGAGAUGCACAUAAAUAGAGUAAAGAGCCUAUCAUCGACCGGUAUACCUUUUGAUCGACGGAUUUACCUCCCGUGUCGAGGUCGAGAUGCCCAUUGGUUCCCAUGGGUGUCUUGAUGGGCUUGGCAUCCUUCAUUCCUAACUUGGUUAGAAUGUCUUGAAUAUACUUUGUUUGGCUAAUGAAGGUGCCCUCUUGGAGUUGCUUCACUUGAAAUCCCAAGAAGUACUUCAACUCCCCCAUCAUUGACAUCUCGAAUUUCUUUGUCAUGAUCCUACUAAAUUCCUCACAUGUAGAUUCGUUAGUAGACCCAAAUAUAAUGUCAUCAACAUAAAUUUGGCAUACAAAUAAACCAUUAUCAAGAGUUUUAGUGAAUAGAGUAGGAUCAGCUUUUCCGACUUUGAAGCCAUUAGUGAUAAGAAAAUCUCUUAGGCAUUCAUACCAUGCUCUUGGGGCUUGCUUGAGCCCAUAAAGCGCCUUAGAGAGUUUAUACACAUGGUUAGGGUACUCACUAUCUUCAAAGCCGGGAGGUUGCUCAACAUAGACCUCUUCCUUGAUUGGUCCAUUGAGGAAGGCACUUUUCACGUCCAUUUGGUAAAGCUUAAAGCCAUGGUAAGUAGCAUAGGCAAGUAAUAUACGAAUUGACUCAAGCCUAGCUACGGGUGCAUAGGUUUCACCGAAAUCCAAACCUUCGACUUGUGAAUACCCCUUGGCCACAAGUCGGGCUUUGUUCCUUGUCACCACACCAUGCUCGUCUUGCUUGUUGCGGAACACCCACUUGGUUCCUACAACAUUUUGAUUAGGACGUGGAACAAAAUGCCAUACCUCGUUCCUAGUGAAGUUGUUGAGCUCCUCUUGCAUCGCCACCACCCAAUCCGAAUCUUGAAGUGCUUCCUCUACCCUAUGUGGUUCUAUAGAGGAAACAAAAGAGUAAUGCUCACAAAAAUGUGCAACACGAGAUCUAGUAGUUACCCCCUUAUGAAUGUCGCCGAGGAUGGUGUCGAUGGGGUGAUCUCGUUGAAUUGCUUGGUGGACUCUUGGGUGUGGCGGCUUUGGAACUUCAUCCUCCUUAUCUUGAUCAUUUGCAUCUCCCCCUUGAUCAUUGCCGUCAUCUUGAGGUGGCUCAUCUUUUUGAUCUUCUCCUUCAUCAACUUGAGCUUCAUCCUCAUUUUGAGUUGGUGGAGAUGCUUGCGUGGAGGAGGAUGGUUGAUCUUGUGCAUUUGGAGGCUCUUCGGAUUCCUUAGGACACACAUCCCCAAUGGACAUGUUCCUUAGCACGAUGCACGGAGCCUCUUCAUCACCUAUCUCAUCAAGAUCAACUUGCUCUACUUGAGAGCCGUUAGUCUCAUCAAACACAACGUCACAAGAAACUUCAACUAGUCCUGAGGACUUGUUAAAGACUCUGUAUGCCCUUGUGUUUGAAUCAUAUCCUAGUAAAAAGCUUUCUACUGUCUUAGGAGCAAAUUUAGAUUUUCUACCUCUUUUAACAAGAACAAAGCAUUUGCUACCAAAGACUCUAAAAUAUGAAAUAUUGGGUUUUCUACCGGUUAGGAGUUCGUAUGAUGUCUUCUUGAGGAUUUGGUGUAGAUAUAACCGGUUGAUGGCGUAGCAAGCGGUGUUGACCGCCUCGGCCCAAAACCGAUCCGAAGUCUUGUAUUCAUCAAGCAUGGUUCUUGCCAUGUCCAAUAGAGUUUGAUUCUUCCUCUCCACUACACCAUUUUGUUGUGGGGUGUAGGGAGAAGAGAACUCAUGCUUGAUGCCCUCCUCCUCAAGGAAGCCUUCAAUUUGAGAGUUCUUGAACUCCGUCCCGUUGUCGCUUCUAAUUUUCUUGAUCCUUAAGCCGAACUCGUUUUGAGCCCGUCUCAAGAAUCCCUUUAAAGUUUCUUGGGUAUGAGAUUUUUCCUGCAAAAAGAACACCCAAGUGAAGCGAGAAUAAUCAUCCACAAUAACUAGACAGUACUUACUCCCGCCAAUGCUUAUGUAAGCUAUCGGGCCGAAUAGGUCCAUGCGUAGGAGCUCGAGUGGCAUGUCAGUCGUCAUAAUGUUCUUGUGUGGAUGAUGAGUCCCAACUUGCUUCCCUGCCUGACAUGCGCUACAAAUCCUGUCUUUCUCAAAAUGAACAUUUGUUAGUCCCAAAAUGUGUUCUCCCUUUAGAAGCUUGUGAAGAUUCUUUAUUCCAACAUGUGCUAGUCAGCGAUGCCAGAGCCAGCCCAUGUUAGUCUUAGCAAUUAAGCAAGUGUCGAGUUCAGCUCUAUCAAAAUCUACUAAGUAUAGCUGACCCUCUAACACUCCCUUAAAUGCUAUUGAAUCAUCACUUCUUCUAAAGACAGUAACACCUACAUCUGUAAAAAGACAGUUGUAGCCCAUUUUGCAUAGUUGAGAAAUUGAAAGAAAGUUGUAAUCUAAAGAGUCUACAAGAAAAACAUUAGAAAUUGAAUGGUCAGGAGAUAUAGCAAUUUUACCCAAUCCUUUGACCAAACCUUGAUUUCCAUCCCCGAAUGUGAUAACUCGUUGGGGAUCUUGGUUUUUCUCAUAAGAGGAGAACAUUUUCUUCUCCCCUGUCAUGUGGUUUGUGCACCCGCUAUCGAUGAUCCAACUUGAGCCCCCGGAUGCAUAAACCUACAAAACAAGUUUAGUUCUUUGUUUUAGGUACCCAAACUGUUUUGGGUCCUUUGGCAUUAGAUACAAGAACUUUGGGUACCCAAACACAAGUCUUGGAGCUCUUGUGUUUGCCCCCAACAUAUUUGGCAACUACCUUGCCGGAUUUGUGUCACACCCGGUUUUGGAAGGCAAACCGAAUGCGAACUAUGUACGUGCCAGGAUCAGAACUCACGUACACAGCGAUUACAUAAAUGAACAUCAUCACACAAUGCUCGAAUAAUAACAUAAAAGGGGUACUUAUUACAUCAUAGAGUCAUAGACAUCCACAUAUUCAUUGUCUUAACAAGUAAAUCAAAGUACUAGCGAAACGCAGUAAAGAUAAGGCCUCCACAGGCAGCUGACUGGGGGUUUCCGCCAACCCACACCUAGAAUUCGUCGUAAUCUUGGAACUCCUGGAAGUCUCCUUCCACGGCUUCGCCUUCUCCUGAGCAGUGGUUACAAUGCGGACAACCUGGUGUUUUGUGGUAAAGCAAGGAUGAGUACACAUCAACGUACUCAGCAAAUGUCCCGUUUGGCUGAGGUGGACUAGCUUUAUGUGGGGUUAAGCUCAAGCAGUUGCUUUUAGUUGGUCAAGUAUUUAUCAUUAGUAGAAGCCAGAUUUUAGCAUUAACCAACCCGUAAACCAUUUCCUCAUCGAGGAACAACAUCAUCAUAGUCGAACCAAAACCAUAACAUAAUCCUUGUCUCUCGAACCAUCUGUAUCUCUAAUCAAAGAGGAUCCCAAGGCUGCUCUUAACCGUGAGCACGGCUGAUAUAUCAGUUUCACUACCCUCUGCAGAGGUUGCACACUUUACCCAUGAGUCAUGAUUCCCUUUCUACCCGGGGAGAGCUAAUCCCCAUUGACCACUACCUAGGUGGUCCGGCAGGGCAUCACUACGUAGCUUUUACAAAGAUUCCCUAGAGAUCAUAGCUGCCCGUUAGGUUUCUCCAGUUUGAUAAACACAGUACCCCUCCCCGCAGGAGAGUGACUAACAAAGAGCAAAACGAAAGAACCUCAGCACUCAGCCUCGGCAGAGCAAGCACUGUGCCUGGACCCCAUUGACGGCACGACGGCUAAGCAACUACACCUCUAGUUCAUCUAAUUAAUCAGCUAAGGGCAUCCCAUUUCACCCUCAUGGUUGCACUGUUAUCCCGGGUGGUCUCUCAACGAACCAGUCCUUACGGAGAGGUACUCAGGAAACAGCCUGAGCCCCCUAGAGUAUCACCAGAUCAUCAACAUCAUCAGGAUAACAGUAUCAUAAAUAGUCACAUCAUGUUCAUUGAUUAUGUUAAAGCAAUAGCAAAGUGCUAACCAUAAUAGCCCACAAGGUCAUCAAGGAUAAAGUAAAGUGUAAAGCUAGUCAAUCCUUAGGUUUCAAGUAAGUAAUGCAGGGUAGUAAGUUAUAAAUGAAUAGGACAUAAUGGGACAGAGGACACUUGCCUUCACCAAACUGCUGAUCAGGGACUUCCUCUGCAACUUCCUCGGGAAACACAGACUGCUCGUUGUCUACGUACAGUAAUCAUUCACACUAUGCACUUGGGAAAAUAACAAACAGAAAGCAACAUACCAAACAUAUGCAGCAGAGAGAGAUCACAAGUUCAUAGCAGAAAAGGAUGGGCACUCUGGUGUUCCCUAGGUCUGGGGUAGAGGACUAUACAAAGUGAUUCAUUAUCCACUAAUCAGGUUUAAGUCAGGGGUGGGAUUAAAUCAUUACAUGGUUUUAAGUUCCUAAACCUAGGUGUUUAAGUCCAUAAACUUAAGUGCUCCAACUUUUAUUAAAGUCUACUAUCUUUUAUUUAUCUCAAAUAGGGUUCCCAUAACAUUAACUUUAUCCUAAUGAUUAACCAUUAAUUGGGACAUGGAAACAGCAGGGAAACAUUGCAUAAACAGAUAGAUAAUAAUAUUAUGAACAUUUUGCAAUUUGAAGCACCUAAUUUGGAGUUCAUAUGACAAAGUUAUGAAUUUUACAAGUUUAGGGGUUAAAAUUAUACCCUAAGGACCUAUUUUGAAUUAAAUAAAAGGUCCGAGGACCUAACUGCGAGAGACCAGGGACGGCGGGCGCAAUUUCCAGAAAACAGGGGGGUUCUUUAAGAAAAUGCGCGGGCGAAGGGGUAUCGGGCGCCUACAGCCGUUGGAUCUCAGAUCGACGGCCAGGAUUAGAUCCCGCGGCGGGCGCGCGGCGGCGUGAGCGGCUGACAGGCGGGGCCGGGCGGGCAGCGCGGGCGCGGGGCUGACAGGCGGGGCCGGGCGGGCAGCGCGGGCGCGGGGCUGACAGGCGGGGCCGGGCGGGCAGCGCGGGCGCGGGCGACUGGCAGGCGGGGCCCAGUCGGCAGGGAGGCGGGGCGCGGGGGAAACGGCUCUGGGCCGUUGGAUCUUGGGCGGACGGUUGAGGUUGGGUUCGGGUUAUUUGAAUCCGUGCCGUCCGAUCUAAUAUAGACGGCGGGGAUGGGGUGGCUGGCUCCCGUCUCCUUCGGCUAGCUGGGGCGGCGGCGCUCGUCCCCGCGGCGGAGGAGCUCGCCGGAGACGAGGGGCGCGGGGGCCCUGCGGGUCCUUGGGGCGAUCCGAGUGGCCGGGGAGGUUAGGGAGGGCAUGGGGAAUCCAUUGGUGGGGUCUGGGUCGGGGCAGGGGCACCGGGGGGGUGGCUCAUGGCGGAGUGGCUCGGCGGCGGCGGUAAGCAACUCCGACGAGCAAUCAAACGCAGCAGAGAGCAAAAUAAAGGCCAAUAGGGGCGGGAGAGGUUCUUUACCUCAAGGCGGGCUCCGGGGACUCCUCGGCGGCGACGGAGACGCGACGGUGGCCCGGGUCGACGGUGGCGGCUGCACGGCGGACGGCGGGUGAGCGCGGGCAGAGAGAAAUAGGGAGGGGAAGGGGAAAUUGGUGCGCGUUCCGGGUUGCGGACGUCGGGGCGAAGCUCACCGUGGCAAUGGACACGGCGGAGCUCCAACGGCGGCCGGGAACCGAGCUCGGAACGGCGGGGUUUACGGCGGCGGCGCUCUGGCGUGCGCACAGCGAGGGAGAGGUGGAAGAGGGGGGCCGGUUGGUGCGCAAAUGAGGGAGGGGGAGAUGGCGAGCAAGGCUCGGGGCUCAAGUGGCCGAGGGCGAGGUGGGGCGAGCCCCACGCGCGACGUGGGCGCGGAGACCGCGGCACGCACGGCGGCGGUUACGCGAAGACGGAGAAGCUGACAAGCCGAACCCGCGGCGCAGAGAGAGAGAAGAAAGCGGGUGCGGGCGCGAGGGAAGCGGGGCUGACAGGCCGGGCCCACGGGCAGAGAGAGAGCGAGGGAGCGGGCGCGCGCGGGGAAGCGGCAGCGCCGACAGGCCGGGCCCGCUGCGCAGAGAGAGGAGGGGGGAGAGGCGCGCGCGCGAGGUGGGCCGACUGGGCCGAAAGGCCGAGGGGGGCGGGGAAGUGGGCUGCUUUGCCUUUUUCUUUUAUUUUGGAAUUGUUUUCUCCUUUUCUUUUAUUUAUUCUAUUUGAUUCAAAUUCAAAUGAGCCCCAAAAUCAAAUUAGACUUUUUGAGAAUUAUGCACCAAACAAAAGUGAAAUCUAGGGUUCGACAUGAUGCAACAAUUCAUAUUCCCUUAGGGUUUGAGCUAAUAGACUAUAAUUACAAAUAAAAUAACCACUUUUCUCCUAUAGAAAUGAGAAAGAGAAGAUUGGGAAAGGAUGAAAAAAGGGAAGUAACACCUGAAUUUGUGAAUAUGAGCAAAGAAAUUUUAUACCCCCAAAUUCAGGGUGUUACAAACCUAUCCCCCUUAAAAGAAUCUCGCCCCCGAGAUUCAGGGUUGGUCAGCAAAGAGUUCAGGGUAUUUGGCUUUUAGAUCAUCUUCUCGUUCCUAGGUUGCUUCUUCCUCAGAGUGGUGACCCCAUCUGACUUUGCACAUUCUGAUGGUGUUUCUCCGGGUGACCCUGUCUGCAAACUCCAAAAUCUGCGUUGGCUUCUCUAUGUAGGUCAGAUCUUCCUGAACUUCCAAACCCUCCACUGGCAACUGCUCUUCUGGUACUCGCAGACAUUUCUUCAAUUGCGACACGUGGAACACGUUGUGCACUGCCGACAAACUUUCUGGUAGGUUGAGUUGGUAAGCCACUUCUCCACGCUUUGUUUGAAUCUGAUAUGGUCCAACGUACCGGGGUGCUAACUUGCCUUUAACUCCGAACCUUCUGACUCCCCUGAUAGGUGACACCUUCAGAUAGACGUAGUCUCCCACUUCAAAACUCAGUUCUCUUCUCCUUCGGUCCGCAUAGCUUCGCUGUCUUGACUGGGCUGUCUUUAGAUUCUCCCGAACCAUUUUGAUAUUCUCUUCAGCUUCAAGCAAGAUGUCGGGGCCAAACACCUGUCUCUCUCCAGGCUGGUCCCAAUGCAGCGGAGUCCUACAACUCCGUCCAUAGAGUGCCUGAAACGGUGACAUCUUCAAGCUGGCCUGGUAACUAUUGUUGUAGGAGAAUUCUGCAUAAGGUAAUCUUUUGUCCCAUCCUGACUUGUCUUGCAACGCACAGGCUCUCAACAUAUCUUCUAGGAUCUGAUUAGUUCUUUCAGUCUGACCGUCUGUCUGCGGGUGAUAAGCUAAGCUGAAGUUCAAAUGGGUGCCCAAAGCUUCUUGUAGCUGCUGCCAAAAAUGAGAUGUGAACUGCGUUCCUCGAUCUGACACUAUCUUCUUCGGCACACCAUGAAGGCAGACUAUCCGUGACAUGUAUAACUCAGCUAACGUUGCUCCGGUGUAUGUUGUCUUCACAGGUAUGAAAUGGGCCACCUUUGUUAAGCGGUCCACAACCACCCAGAUGGAAUCAUAGCCGGCCCGGGUACGAGGUAGGCCAACUAUAAAAUCCAUCCCGAUCUCAUCCCACUUCCACUGAGGAAUCCGCAAAGGCUGCAACAAUCCGGCGGGCCUCUGAUGCUCUGCUUUGGUUCUCUGACAGCUAUCACAGAUGGCAACAUAUUCUGCGAUCUCUCUUUUCAUGCCAUACCACCAAAACCUUCUUUUUAAGUCCUGGUACAUCUUCUCACUUCCAGGGUGUAUGGAGUAGGCUGUCUCAUGAGCUUCCUUGAGGAUCAGUUCCCGGAUAGGUUUGAGGUCGGGAACACACAAUCGGUCUUUGAACCAUAUUACCCCUUCUUCAUCCUCUCGAAAGUCUUUGCCUCUUCCUUCUAAGAUCAGCUGCCGAAUCUUGUUGAUGUUUUCAUCAUCCUUCUGUCCUUCUUUGAUCUCCCGCUCUAGGGUGGGCUCUAAUUCCACCGUUACUCCUUGCGUACUGUUCAGGAAACCAAGGCUCAGUCUGUCAAAUUCCUUGGCUAACUCAUAUGGCAUUGGGUGCGAGGCCAACAUAUUAACUUGACUUUUCCUGCUCAGAGCAUCUGCAACAACAUUGGCUUUGCCCGGAUGGUAAUGUAUCUCCAACUCAUAGUCUUUGAUCAGUUCCAACCAUCUUCGCUGCCUCAUGUUUAACUCUGACUGGGUGAAUAUGUACUUUAGACUUUUAUGAUCUGUGUAGAUGUCACACUUCUGCCCAUACAGGUAAUGUCUCCAGGUCUUUAAAGCAUGAACCACUGCUGCCAACUCCAGGUCAUGUGUGGGAUAGUUUUUCUCAUGGAUCUUCAGCUGUCGAGACGAGUAUGCUACAACUCUCCCUUCUUGCAUUAGCACACAUCCCAAUCCGGUGUAAGAAGCGUCGCAAUACACUGAGAAUGACUUGUGAACAUCAGGCAGGACUAACACAGGAGCUGUAGUCAAUCUAUUCUUCAGUUCUUCAAAUGCUUCCUGACACUUUUGGGUCCACUUAAACUCAACUUUCUUCGCUAGUAACGCUGUCAUCGGUCUAGCAAUCUUUGAAAAGCCUUCAAUGAAACGCCUGUAAUAUCCAGCCAUUCCGAUGAAGCUCUUGAUCCCACGAACAUCCUUCGGUGCUUUCCAGUUCAAGAUAUCUGCCACUUUCUUUGGAUCUACUGCCAACCCAUCUUGAUUUAUGAUGUGACCCAGAAACAAGACUUCAUGAAUCCAGAACUCGCAUUUGCCCAGCUUGGCAUACAACUGAUGUUCUCGAAGCCUUUGCAAUACCAUCUUCAAAUGCUCUACAUGAUCUUCCUCACUUUGAGAGUAUAUGAGAAUGUCGUCGAUGAACACUACCACAAACUUGUCCAGAUAAUCCAUGAACACACUGUUCAUCAGGUACAUGAAGAAGGCUGGCGCAUUUGUCAAACCAAAGGACAUAACUGUGAACUCAUAUAACCCAUACUUGGUGAUGAAUGCCGUCUUCGGUAUGUCCGAGGGUCGGAUUCUGAGUUGAUGGUAACCUGAUCUCAGAUCUAUCUUCGAGAAUACGCUGGCACCUCUGAGCUGGUCAAACAGAUCUUCUAUCCUUGGCAGGGGGUACUUGUUCUUAAUAGUGACUUCAUUCAGGGCUCUGUAAUCUAUGCACAUCCUUUUGGUACCAUCUUUCUUCUCGACAAACAAUACUGGAGCGGCCCAAGGCGAGGUACUUGGUCUGAUGUAACCCUUCUCUAACAUCUCAUCUAUCUGCUUCUUGAGUUCUACCAGUUCUGGUCCAGACACUCGGUAGGCUCUUUUGGAAAUGGGGGCGGUACCAGGGAUAAGCUCUAUGGCAAAUUCAACCUUUCUUUCGGGUGGCAUGCCCGUUAGCUCCUCGGGAAACACAUCCGGAAAGUCCGACACAACCUUGAUAGUCUCGAGCGGGUUGGGCUCCUUACUAUCAACUGAAAUCUGAUGACAGGCUCCCUCCGCUGAUUUAGGCAUCCAUAGCUCGGCCACUACCUCUUCUCCUGACGGGGACUUCAAUGUUACGGUCCUCUUGUCACAACUAACAUUCGCCUCAUACUUCAUUAACCAAUUCAUCCCUAGGAUGAUAUCUACCCCAAGGGUGUCUAUUACUAUUAGAUCACUGGGGAACCCUAUCCCCCUUAUUUCCACCCUUACAUUUGAGCAUAUUUUAUCUGUUUGCACCUUGCCACCAACCGAAUUAAUCCUCAUGGGCGGCAUCAUUGCCUCUACUGAGAUGUUAUGCAAUUCUACCCAUGUUGUAGUGACAAACGAAUGAGUUGCACCAGUAUCAAAUAGCACUUUUGCGGGAUGAGAUUCGACUGAGAACAUACCUACUGCCACAUCUGGUGCAUCCUGGAUCGCUUCGGCCUCCAAGUGGUUCACCUUUCCACGGUUGUACGCUUGGUUACGAUUGCCUGCUGCUGGCUGCAGUACACCUUGCCUUGUUGGAGCAUUGGGGUUGGUCUGCUGCUGCGCCAACUUCUUUGGGCACUGCAUCACCCAGUGGCCUUGAUCUCCGCAGUGGAAACAUCCUCUGCCUCCUCCUUGUGCUGGGGCUGCUUGGUUGCUCUGAUUUGCUGCUGGGACAGGAAGGCGAGGUGCCUGGUUGUUCUGCUUCUGAUAUUGAUUACCUCCCUGCUGGCUGUGCUGACGAUACUGCUGCUGUUGCUGCGGGUACUGCCUCUGAAAUUGCUGCUGAUGCGGACGCUGAUUCUGAUUCUGAUAUCCCUGUGGGUGACCAGGUCUGCCUUGCUGAGAUGAACUGCCUGAGAAACGUGGACGGCUGAUGCCUCCGGACUGGGGUCCACUCAUCUUGCGCUUCCGAUCUUCCAUGUCCUUACGCUUCUUCUCAGUCAUAACUGCCCUAUCGAUCAGGUGCUGGAAGGUGGGGAAGGUGUGAUUCAUCAGCUGGUAAUGCAGGGGAUCCACCAAACCUCUCAUGAACCUGUACUGCCUUUUAGCAUCAGUGUUGACGUCCUCAGGUGCAUAACGAGACAGCUGCAGAAACUUAUCUCUGUACUCACUAACAGACAGGGGUCCCUGCUUCAGAGCCAAAAACUCCUCCUUCUUCACGAUCAUCAGUCCCUCCGGCACAUGGUACCUGCGGAAACUCUCGCUGAAUUCCUCCCAGGUGAUGGCUUCGGGGUUGGCAUGGGUGGCGAGGUAGGACUCCCACCAGGACUGGGCUGCUCCCCUUAGCUGACGGGGACCAUAUAGAACCUUCUCCCUGUCGUCACAUUGGGCGGUGCGCAGUUCCCUUUCCACUGCGCGCAGCCAGUCUUCUGCAUCCAUGGGGUCAGCAGAAUGGGCGAAGGUAGGAGGGUGCCCUCUCAUGAACUCACCACGCUUAUCUCGUGGCAUCUGGGGCAUCUGCACUUGCAAUUGGGGUUGGGGUUGCUGUUGAGCCUGCUGCAUGGCUGCCAGAGUCUGCCCAAUGGCCUGCACUGCCUGGGUCUGCAUCAAGAACAUCUGCUCCACUGACAUCGGGGGUGGUGGGGGAGGCUGCCUCUGUUGUUCCUCCUGCUGGUCAUGCUGCUCUUGCUGAGCACUCCUGUU